rnacentral:rRNA from 1 species
AUACGUAGGGAGCGAGCGUUGUCCGGAAUUACUGGGUGUAAAGGGAGCGUAGGCGGGACUGCAAGUCAGAUGUGAAAUACCGGGGCUUAACCCCGGAGCUGCAUUUGAAACUGUGGUUCUUGAGUGAAGUAGAGGCAAGCGGAAUUCCUGGUGUAGCGGUGAAAUGCGUAGAUAUCAGGAGGAACACCGGUGGCGAAGGCGGCUUGCUGGGCUUUUACUGACGCUGAGGCUCGAAAGCGUGGGUAGCAAACAGGAUUAGAUACCCUGGUAGUCCACGCUGUAAACGAUGAUACUAGGUGUGGGGGGACUGACCCCUUCCGUGCCGCAGUUAACACAAUAAGUAAUCCACCUGGGGAGUACGGCCGCAAGGUUGAAACUCAAAGGAAUUGACGGGG